CAGUCGCCGCGGUAAUACGGAGGGUGCAAGCGUUAAUCGGAAUUACUGGGCGUAAAGCGCGCGUAGGUGGUUUGUUAAGUUGGAUGUGAAAGCCCCGGGCUCAACCUGGGAACUGCAUCCAAAACUGGCAAGCUAGAGUACGGUAGAGGGUGGUGGAAUUUCCUGUGUAGCGGUGAAAUGCGUAGAUAUAGGAAGGAACACCAGUGGCGAAGGCGACCACCUGGACUGAUACUGACACUGAGGUGCGAAAGCGUGGGGAGCAAACAGGAUUAGAUACCCCAGUAGUCCCUGUCUCUUAUAC
rnacentral:rRNA from 1 species